GAAACGGAGAAAGAGCGUGCUGCAUGGGAGAUUGGUCAACUCGCUGUUUAAUUUUGCAGAGUGAUGGGGAACGCAUCACUGCUGAUAAGAACCAUCUCAGAGCUUCAUCAACCACGUGCUGCUUUCUCUGAAACAUUGCCAUUGUGACUCAGGAGCUUCUAGUCUAAAACGAAAAUAAAACAGUAAUGGGGAUGUGGAACCUGGUUCUUGGUUCAAUCUCUCUGUCUUCAAGAUUUACGGAUCCUUACAGCAAGAUUCCACAAGAGCCUUUACAGAAAGAAGCACAUAUGGAAGACAUCACUAAGAAUAAAGAGAUUGAAUUAUCAGAAUAACCUACCACACAUGAGCUAGAAAGCAAUG
rnacentral:lncRNA from 1 species